rnacentral:rRNA from 1 species
GUAGGGACCGAGCGUUGUCCGGAUUCAUUGGGCGUAAAGAGCUCGUAGGCGGCUGCUCAAGUCGAAUGUGAAAACUCGAGGCUCAACCUCGAGCCUGCAUUCGAUACUGGGCGGCUAGAGUCUGGUAGGGGGAUCUGGAAUUCCUGGUGUAGCGGUGGAAUGCGCAGAUAUCAGGAGGAACACCGGUGGCGAAGGCGGGAUCCUGGGCCAGUACUGACGCUGAGGAGCGAAAGCGUGGGGAGCAAACAGGAUUAGAUACCCUGGUAGUCCACGCCGUAAACGAUGGGCGCUAGGUGUGGGAGGUCAUCGACUCCUUCCGUGCCGCAGCUAACGCAUUAAGCGCCCCGCCUGGGGAGUACGGCCGCAAGGCUAAA